rnacentral:rRNA from 1 species
AUUGAACGCUGGCGGCAGGCCUAACACAUGCAAGUCGAACGGUAACAGGAAGCAGCUUGCUGCUUCGCUGACGAGUGGCGGACGGGUGAGUAAUGUCUGGGAAGCUGCCUGAUGGAGGGGGAUAACUACUGGAAACGGUAGCUAAUACCGCAUAAUGUCGCAAGACCAAAGAGGGGGACCUUCGGGCCUCUUGCCAUCGGCUGUGCCCAGAUGGGAUUAGCUUGUUGGUGGGGUAACGGCUCACCAAGGCGACGAUCCCUAGCUGGUCUGAGAGGAUGACCAGCCACACUGGGACUGAGACACGGUCCAGACUCCUACGGGAGGCAGCAGUGGGGAAUAUUGCACAAUGGGCGCAAGCCUGAUGCAGCCAUGCCGCGUGUAUGAAGAAGGCCUUCGGGUUGUAAAGUACUUUCAGCGGGGAGGAAGGGAGUAAAGUUAAUACCUUUGCUCAUUGACGUUACCCGCAGAAGAAGCACCGGCUAACUCCGUG